CCCAAAAAACACUGGUCAAGUGUGUGUUUUUACUUUAGAAAAUGUUGUGGAGGCAGAAAUUGUCUUCUCUUAUAGGUAGGCUCUGUCAACACCAAAUGCAUUAAUGUCAAUGGCAACCUUUGACAAUCUGAUUUUUUAUUUUCCAAAGGAUAACUAGCACUCAUCCAAUGUAUAUCUGGCGCUCCUGUGGCAAAAAAGGCUGCAUGGUGUUCUAUCACUGACAGCUUCACACAGCCAACACCACUGAAGGCCUUCCGUAUGCUGGGAUAUACGCUGCCACCUUGUUCAUCCUGGUGUUGUGAUGUUGGUUAGUGCCUCCUUCAUUCUCUCACGGGUCAAUGUGUACCGCCGGACGAUCUGACGUAUGUGCUCUUCCUCCUCUCGCUGAAGGAUCCUCAGAAAAUUGUGAAGCUCGGGCAUCGUAAAGGCAUCCCACUGUGGAGAAAACAACUCAGGGAUUUCUCACUGGGCCCCGCACACAAACGCAACUGAAGAGGGCAUUCGUCAUCAGCUAGUUUCCGGCGAAUUUAGCGGGAUUAUCCACCACUGUGAACUUGUUCAACAGAGCUUCAAUAACCUCACGGGCACAUGUGUGGGAACUGAUGUGGAG